UAAAAAAAAAAGAAGAGGACGCAUCUUUGAUUUUUCCUCUUAAGCAAGCAAUUUGCGACGUGGUUCUCUGGUGUCCCCGCGUUAUCUAUUUAUUUCCCGGACACACCCUUCUUCUUCUUUUCGUUCCUUCUUUUCUCCUAUUGCAAAACUCUCCUUACCUCCAACUAUCAAUGGCGACAAUUUCUUUACCAAAUGGUUUGAAAACUCUGUUCACUGUUCUCGGUGCUCUCAUGCUUGCUCUCCUUCUUUACACACUCAUUACCGACGGUUUCCCCUUCCGCAAAGAACUUCUCACUCCGUGGAUGGCAGCAACUUUGGUUGAUUUCUAUAUCAACGUUGCAAUUUUGAGCGCCUGGGUUGUUUACAAGGAAGCAAAUUGGGUCAGCUCAAUUAUAUGGAUAAUUUUACUUAUCUCCCUUGGAAGCAUUGCUACAUCUGCCUAUAUUGUUGUGCAAUUUUUGAAGCUGUCAUCUCAAGAAUCUUCACAGGACCCUAUGACCUAUGUUCUUUUACGACAUCCACACAAGAGUGGCAUAGAACCAAAAACAAAGUGUUCUGUUGUUGCAAUUCUAAGAAUCCUUUUCAGCGUUUUGGGCGUUGUCAUGCUUGGAACCUUGGUAUACACUCUUGUCACUGAUGGUUCUCCUUUCCGUACGGAGCUAUUGACUCCGUGGAUGCAAGCAACACUAGUUGACUUCUACAUCAAUGUUGUGGCCCUAGCAGUCUGGGUUGCCUACAAAGAAUCUAAUUGGAUUUAUGCGGUUUUAUGGGUGAUUCUAUUGAUAUGUUUUGGCAGCAUCACUUCAUGCAUCUACGUUGUAUGGCAGUUGUUCCAAAUAUCUUAUCAGGAUCCUGCUUACCUUAUUUUAGUUCAUCAUAAUGACAGAAACGGCAAUGGUUAUUGAUGGUAGGGCAGAAAACAAAUAUAAGGAGAUUUCUGCUGAUGCAACAUAGCAAUGGUGUUAAUCAAACAAGGUGUGGUAUACUGGUAUGUGAUCAUACAAAUCUGAAGUAAAAAUGACCCCAGAAGACAGUAAAUUAACAUACUCUGAUGAAAUUGAUGCCUGGAGAUAGUAUCUGAAAACACGAGUUGGCGGUUGGACGAUGUCAUUGUCCAUAUAAAUAAAUGUUAUAUCCCUAGUAUAGUUUUUUAUUUUAUAGUUGUGUAAUUUGAACUUCAAAAUACAUCGUCUUUGUUUAUCUCUAUUUCUCUCACUUUUAUAUUUUUUUCACAUUUGGUAUGCAACUUCAUCCUGCUACCUCAUUCGUUAUAAAAUAAAAUGGUGUAAAGUA